GACCGGGAGCGUAUGGCACAGUUGGUAGCACUGUUGCCUUGCAGCAAGAAUGUCCUGGGUUUGAAUCCCAGCCUGGGGUCA